CGGACCAAUCACAGCACACAGCGAAGUAAACAAGGAAGCGGCCGAAUCAACCGCUCGCAAAUAAGAGAAAAUGGAAAGGGGAGCCUCUUGUAUUUGUACACAAACGGGGAAUCAUCCCACUUUCACAAAGGAGUGGCAGAAUUGCCCACACUUUAGGACACCGCCUGUAGGAGUUACACAACUUUGCUUAGUUCAGUCUUCUGUGACAGUUCCUCCAGGUGUCGCACGCAGUUUGCAUUGAGAGGAGGAAAGACCUCUACGCUAGCCCUCGUGAAAAAGCACUGUAAAGAGUUUGCCACCCCAGAUAUGAUCGCUGAAAUAAAGCACUGGGGAGGGAUUACAUACGACCAAACACACCAGGCAGAACACAAUGGGAGAAUAUUCAGAGCUAAAAAAAAAAGGAUAAUAGCAUAUGAGGAGCAGUGUUCUCAUCAUAGAGAAGCUGAAGAGGCCGGGUGAAGAUUCAAAGCACUCUGUUUUAAUGUGAGAGUCAAGACAAACAACGGGCACGACACAAGAUCAUUUCUCAUUAAAUGUUGUUUCAUGGUUUAACAUUUUACCAGAUAUUAAAGGGGGUACUCCACCAAUUUUACACAUUCAAAUUCAGUUUAUGCAUCGUGUGUAGUACUAUUCAGUCUGUGAAAAGAGUUAUAUUAUUUGUUCUAUGGCUCUAGAGAGAGCUUUCAUUGUGUUUAUCUCAUAUAUAUAUAUAAUAGCCAUUGUUCUGGGGGAUUGACCCAUACCUGGGACUAAAAGUCAUAAUGUCUCAGAUUCUGCUUCAUUCAUUAUGAUUAUUCUUUUCUUGAUUUGGGUUUAGCAAGUUUCCCUACUUUAGUGCAAUACUACAUCAAUACUCCUACUGCAUCGCUUGGGCGCCUCUUUGAAAUGCCAGUUUUAUGUCCACGGAGACUGCAGUCGUAAAAUGUAGUCCAUA